rnacentral:rRNA from 1 species
AUACGUAGGGGGCGAGCGUUGUCCGGAAUGAUUGGGCGUAAAGGGCGCGUAGGCGGCCCGGUAAGUCUGGAGUGAAAGUCCUGUUUUUAAGAUGGGAAUUGCUUUGGAUACUGUCGGGCUUGAGUGCAGGAGAGGUAAGUGGAAUUCCCAGUGUAGCGGUGAAAUGCGUAGAUAUUAGGAGGAACACCAGUGGCGAAGGCGGCUUUCUGGACGACAACUGACGCUGAGGCGCGAAAGUGUGGGGAGCAAACAGGAUUAGAUACCCUGGUAGUCCACACCGUAAACGAUGGAUACUAGGUGUAGGAGGUAUCGACCCCUUCUGUGCCGGAGUUAACACAAUAAGUAUCCCACCUGGGGAGUACGGCCGCAAGGCUGAAACUCAAAUGAAUUGGCGGGG